rnacentral:rRNA from 1 species
AGCGGCGGACGGGUGAGUAACGCGUGGGUAACCUACCUCAUACAGGGGGAUAACAGUUGGAAACGGCUGCUAAUACCGCAUAAGCGCACAGUACCGCAUGGUACCGUGUGAAGAACUCCGGUGGUAUGAGAUGGACCCGCGUCUGAUUAGCUAGUUGGUGGGGUAACGGCCUACCAAGGCGACGAUCAGUAGCCGACCUGAGAGGGUGACCGGCCACAUUGGGACUGAGACACGGCCCAA